UGGGGAAUAUUGGACAAUGGGCGAAAGCCUGAUCCAGCCAUGCCGCGUGUGUGAAGAAGGUCUUCGGAUUGUAAAGCACUUUAAGUUGGGAGGAAGGGCAGUAAGCGAAUACCUUGCUGUUUUGACGUUACCGACAGAAUAAGCACCGGCUAACUCUGUGCCAGCAGCCGCGGUAAUACAGAGGGUGCAAGCGUUAAUCGGAAUUACUGGGCGUAAAGCGCGCGUAGGUGGUUCGUUAAGUUGAAUGUGAAAGCCCCGGGCUCAACCUGGGAACUGCAUCCAAAACUGGCGAGCUAGAGUAGGGCAGAGGGUGGUGGAAUUUCCUGUGUAGCGGUGAAAUGCGUAGAUAUAGGAAAGAACACCAGUGGCGAAGGCGACCACCUGGGCUCAUACUGACACUGAGGUGCGAAAGCGUGGGGAGCAAACAGG
rnacentral:rRNA from 1 species